rnacentral:rRNA from 1 species
AUGUCGCAGCAGGAUCCAGCUGCGGCCGGGGAGGAGCUGCCGGGGGGCCUCUCGCGGAGCAGCUCCGCCAGCCGGCUCAACGCGCAGGCGCCGGAAUUCGUGCCGCGUGUCGCCGCGGCGCCGCCGCCCCCCGCGCCGGUGCAGCCCGUGAUCCACGUCUUCGCCGCGCCGCCCCCGCCGCCGCCCGCGUCGUUCUUCGCCGCGGGCCCGCCCCCGCCCCCGCCCCGGCCGCCGUUCGAGUUUUACGCGGCGGUCGGUGCUGCUGGCCCGGGCUUCGUUGCCGUGCCCGAGCAUGAGAUGGGGGCCGAGCAAGCGGUGCCGCCGCCGCCACCGCCGGCACAGGCUCACCAGCAGGGGAGAGAGCUGACUACGGACGACGUGCUGCACAAGAUCACCAAGCAGGUGGAGUAUUACUUCAGUGAUAUAAACCUGGCCACUACAGAACAUUUGAUGAGGUUUAUUUCUAAGGAUCCUGAAGGAUAUGUACCGAUGUCAGUUGUUGCUUCCUUUAAGAAAAUUAAGGCUCUGGUGCAAAAUAGUUCCAUGCUUGCUUCAGCUCUUCGAACUUCAUCAAAGCUUGUGGUUAGUGAAGAUGGAAACAGAGUAAAGCGUGUACAGCCAUUUACAGAAUCAGAUUUAGAGGAACUACAGGCCCGAAUUGUUGUUGCAGAAAAUCUUCCAGAUGAUCAUUGUUACCAGAACCUUAUGAAGAUUUUCUCAUCUGUUGGCAGUGUAAAGACAAUCAGGACAUGCUAUCCUCAGACCCCAAAUGGCAGUGGUCCAGUUACUAAUAGAUCUGCUAAACUAGAUAUGCUUUUUGCCAACAAGCUGCACGCUUUUGUUGAGUAUGAGACUAUUGAGGAUGCUGAAAAAGCGAUUGUGGUGCUUAAUGAUGAGAGGAACUGGAGAAGCGGGCUUAGAGUUCGGUUGUUGAAUUCUUGCAUGGCUAAGGGAGGCAAAGGUAAGAAGGGUGGGCAUGAAACUGAUGUACAUGGUGAGGAGGAUGUUUCCACUUCUGAUCAACCAAAUGAUAAACAUUCAGAAGAAACAUCUCAACCGUCAGAUGCAAUAGGAGAGCAUGUUUCCGAGGAGAGCACUGGAGAUACAGGCCGUGGGCGUGGCAGAGGCCGAGGGCGUGGAGGUAGAGGCAGAGGGCGUGGCUACCAUAACAACAAUCAAUACCACCAUAACAACCAUCCGCAGCAGCAGCAGCACUACCAAAACAGCAACAAUCAAGGUAACAACAACCGGAGUGGCGCCCAUCCUGUCGGAACCCCGCCUUCCAGCCACCCAGUGAAGGCCGAGCAGCAGCAGACACAGUCAUCGCCUCCCGCGGGAGCGAACAAACAGCUUCCAGGGCCGCGUAUGCCAGACGGCACCCGUGGGUUCUCAAUGGGCAGAGGAAUGCCGCAAACAUCGACGCCCAGCAUAUCGACUAGUGAACCUUGA